GUGUUGUACGCGUGCUCUGCACUGCAGUGCUCGUGCUGUUCGCGCCGCGGUAUAAAGUUAUUAAAGUUUUGAACAUAAGGUUUAGCGACUUGUUUUAGAUAAUAAUUGUACAUUUUAUCAAGUUGAUAUUAUUAAAGUGUACAUUUUCUUUUCAUAAAGGAGUAAAUAGUUUGGUAUUCAGCUAUAAUUUGUAUUGAUAAAUCUCUCACGAUGCCGCAGGAACAAUUUGUCAUCCAAUGUUACUCUUGUGAAAUGUUUCAGGCACACAUUGUGAAGAAGUCCAAUCAAUGGCAAUGCAAAGUAUGCGGUGAAAAACAAUCAAUUAAAAAGGUGUUUACUCGAGGUGACGGAAAGCACUGUAGAGAACAAACCCAGUACCUGAAUUCCUUGAGGCAACAGAUGGAUUAGAAGAAAAACCAAACAAUCACGCCUCGUUACCAAAUGCAACUUCAUAAGUCAUAACUUCUGUCAAGAUGUUAUUAAUGCUAUCAUGGAUCCAGGAUAAUAUCUUCCCUGAUGAUCUCCUCGAAAGAGACGGUCCAAAUCUCAAAGACUUUUUAAUGUAUCAGACAUAAUUGUUUUGUUUUGAUGAAAUAUUAUUAAUUUCUCUUUUUCUCAUGUUAAAACCUUAUAACUUUGUAAAUAUAAAAAAAAAUUAAAUCUA